GAUGAACGCUCGCGGCAGGCCUAACACAUGCAAGUCGAGGGGUAGAAGGAGCUUGCUCCUUUGAGACCGGCGCACGGGUGCGUAACGCGUAUGCAAUCUACCUUGUACAGGGGAAUAGCCCAGAGAAAUUUGGAUUAAUGCCCCAUAGUAUAUAACCUUCGCAUGUUGGUUAUAUUAAAGUUCCAACGGUACAAGAUGAGCAUGCGUCCCAUUAGUUAGUUGGUAAGGUAACGGCUUACCAAGACGAUGAUGGGUAGGGGUCCUGAGAGGGAGAUCCCCCACACUGGCACUGAGACACGGACCAGACUCCUACGGGAGGCAGCAGUGAGGAAUAUUGGUCAAUGGUCGCAAGACUGAACCAGCCAUGCCGCGUGCAGGAAGACGGUCCUAUGGAUUGUAAACUGCUUUUAUACAGGAAGAAACCCUCCCACGUGUGGGAGCUUGACGGUACUGUAGGAAUAAGGAUCGGCUAACUCCGUG
rnacentral:rRNA from 1 species